AGCGUGCCCUCCGGAACUGGUUCCGCCGCGAGGCGGAUGAAAAGGGAACAUGGUGCGGCCGGCACAUCGGGCCAAAGCCAUGACUGCCCCCGCAACUGUAACCGUUGAGCCAUCUUCCAUGAUGCCACUGACCGCCGAUAGGGGUCGGGAAGGCGGAGGACCGGCGAGGAGACGGAAGUCAGGAGACCUGCCUGUUCCAGUCACCCAUG
rnacentral:ncRNA from 2 species